rnacentral:tRNA from 1 species
GGACAACUCAAUCAGUAGAGCAUGAGACUCUUAACCUCAGGGUUGUGGGUUAGAGCCCCACAUGGGCACUG